rnacentral:lncRNA from 1 species
ACUCACUGUGCAAAUGGAUUUGCCCGAAAUGCUGCUGAAGAAGACAGGUUGGCAUCGGGCUGGUGCUUUUCUGCUUCUACUUAAAUAGGAGAGGAUUUGGUCAAACUUGGUCCUUGGGACAAGGAGCUGUUUUGGACAAACGGUUUACGGAAGGUGAGGCUGGGUAUUUUAAGAAGGGAGGUGAGAAGUGAGAGACCUGGAAUCUGGUCCUUGUAAUCGGUCAUCUUGCAACAUGGACUUGACUGUUGUGGAAAUGGUCUACACCUCAGUUUCCUUUUUACCACAAGCUCUUCCCUCCAUCUCUGUCGACACAUUUCCCUCCUCUUGCUCCAGCCUCUGCUUAUUUCAGGGGCUCAGUUUUCUCAAGAUGGCCCCAUGAAACUUCCUUGCCACAGAAUGCUUCUCUGGAUGCUAUAUCAAUCGAUUACAUGUUAGUAUGAAUUUAGCUAAUACACUACCUCCACAUGUGACUGUACACUCAAAGUAUCCCAGCAGAGGCACUCUCCCAGGUGCAACAAGAUGAAACAGUCAGUUUCGGGGUCUCUUAUCAUGUCCCUAUAUAAACACAGGUGUGGGAGGGAAAUAUUUUGAGAUGACUGCAUGGAACUCUGUAUUCCUUUUCCAUAUAAUGAGUAUAUUAUUCUCCAGCGUCUCUCCAUUGCUCAAAACCACGAAUAUCUCCUCUCUUGAAAAAGUGACAGUGUGAGGACUGGGAAGCUGAAAUUUUAGCUCAGAAGUCUACAACUAGAACCAAGUUUCUAAAAAUGUGCUGUGUUAUAUAAUCCAGGAGGAGGCAAUGGAAAAGUACCAGCUGGUGUGGGACUGGAGGCUUUCCUGCCUCUGACUCACUCAGGCAAAAGGUCUUGAAUUAAGAUGCUUCUCAGAAAAUCCAAACAAAACCCAUUCAUUCUCCAAGGCUUCGCAUUCGUUGUGGGAGUCAAAAUGUAACCAUGGGACUGAGAUUGCCUGGGCACAUUUGGGAAAGUUCACAAAGUUUGUUCUUGUGUCCCUCGAGGCCAGCUUCCAGGGCCUCCCCACUCCUUUCCAGAUGCCCGAUGCCAUCCUGCCGUAUCUAUGGCACCACAGACAGCCCUAUCGGGAAGAUGGCCCAAAUGGCUUUCCCCAUCAAAACUUGACUUCUCUGUCCUGUGGCCUCAGGCCCUGCUCUGGGUUGUCCUUAACUAAACAGUUAGAUGGAUCCUUGCUGUGGUGUUAGCUAACUGAAUAGAGCACCUUUGAAAAAAUAACAUAAUAGGCUGACCACGGUGGCUCAUGCCUGUAAUCCUGGCACCUUGGGAGGCUGAUGGGGGAGGGUUGCUUGAGUCCAGGAGUUUAAGACUAGCCUAGGUAACAUAGCAAGCCGUUGUCUCUACAAAAAAUGUAAAAAUUAGUCAGGUGUGGUGGUGCCUGCCUGUGGUCCCAGCUACUUGGGAGGCUGAGGUGGGAGGCUUAAGGGGGUUGAGGCUACCUUGAGCUGUGUUUGCACCACUGCACUCCAGCCUGGGUGACAGAGUGAGACCCUGCCUCAAAAACAAAACAAAACAAAAACAAAACAUAAUGUCUUAACUCAAAAGAGAGCAUGGCUACUUGUGCAGUGACAAAAGUGGCUGGCAUAUCAGGAAUGAUGACUCUGGCCUAGGAAGAUGUUUGGGACCUGUGGAGCCUUUGGAUGUGGAGUCCCUCAGAUCACACUAGAAUCUGGCUGCCUUCUCCACGAAGAGAUUUCUGUGUGGAAGGUCCAGGCAUCUGUGUUUUGCAGCUCCCCAGAAGGUUUUGAGGCCUGUGGGAAAUGAUGGGGGACUGCAGCACUUGUAUGCUGUGAUGUCGGAAGAAUAACAGCCAGCGGCUCAGCAGCAUUAAGGCUUUGUGGACUGUUCCUAGGCUUUUUCCGUCUCUCCUUUUUUUUUUUUUUUUUUUUUUUUGCCACAGUUGACAUCUGUACGCCCCACGUCACGUGAGGUUAGUGUCUGAGCAGGGACUACAAGGAGCCAACAAUCCUGACUUCUGGUCUACCUUUCCCCCAAGUACCCACAGCCUCCCUAAUAUCCAAAUCCUCAUGUAACUUUAUGCAAUGAAACAUAUCAAACUUUACAUAGCAUUGCCCAGCCUGUGCACGUUGAGGUAUUUCAAAGCAAAAAGCAUUAUAAAGUCUUUGUGAACCUCUCCCCACAAGCAUGUAAAGCUUUGGGAACAGGCCAGGAACCACCUGCCUUGGCAUACCAUAGUGCUGUGACCAUUGCAAUUAUAUUUUCCAGAUACAAUUCUUGGGGCAUGCAGUCUGAGAAUGCUUUGCCUCUGAAUGGAGCACAUGGUUUUUGGAUAGGGAAAUGUUGGCCUACAGAUGUAUGAAGGCUAUGGUGUUGGUGGGGGUGCCGUAAUAGGAUAACUUGAGUCUGAAUGUGUGAAGUGAUGUUUCGACUAGAGCUGAUUUUGGAAGUGGUUGUAGCUGGCACUGGGAGAUGAGGAGGCAUGAUGAGGGUGAGAAUAAUUCAAUGUGAAUUUUCAAGAGUUAGGCUCUUGAACUGUAAGAAUGUAAACCUCAGGUCACUUUACUAAGAGGGGUUAUAUUGGGCCAAAUGUCUGCAUCUGCCUCCCACAUUCAUUCACCUGGCCCCACCUGCCUGCCCCCAGGUGCCCUGUAUCUGGCUCAGGGCUGAGAACCACAGCAGCCUGGCACCUACUCCCUAGUCCUGGCCUUGUGGUCUCAUGUGGUCUGGGCUGCUCCCACCACAUCCCGACUCAGGUGAAGUGUGGAUCUGAGCGCACAGCUGCAAAGUACAGGGCCUGGGGCCUUGACCAGGAAGUGCAGGUGAGUUCACGUACCUGUACAGGGUGAAGACAGCCUGAAGGAGGUGUGGGCAGGAGGGGGCUUCAUGCCCCACACAAGGAGGUUUGACCAUUGAGACAGGAGGUGGUGGCAGUUGUGAAUUUUUCUCCCUUCCCUGCCCACCUCCCUCCUCCUCCCACUCACACUCACAUUGCUCCAGGUAUGGUGAUGCCUUUGGCCUGCCCCUGAACGUCCCAUAUACCUGGACAGCCAGCUGUGUCUUCUGAGGCCAUGAGCAGCUGGCAGCACAUCCCUUGCAUCUGCUUUCCCCACUCCCGCUUUGCUUCCUGCCCUCACUCUUGCUGCCCCGGGAUUGCACCCAUCUCCUCACAAAGCAGGAGCUGCGAAGAUUUGCCUCAGGCUUUGUUCUCAAGGGAGGACAGGUCAUUAGGGGCUGGUUGUAAAGCUGCACAUAGAAAGCUAUGCACAUGCUUCACCUGGUUUCUUUUGACGUGGUCAUAGGAGAUUUAAAUACCUUGGUUUUCCUUAUCAUGGAGGUAUCUGUUUUUAUGUGUUUGCUUUGGCCUCCUUUUCUUCUCAAUUCACCAAUUUAUUUCCAUAUUUUUAAUGCCAAGCCUCAUAAGGAGUCCAGUGAAUUGUCAUAUCCAAUGAAGGUUGCAGUUGCUGGGCAAAUAUUUUGUGUUGCGUAAGGUCGAUUCAUGGGUAGCUGACCAGCUUACUGAUGAGCAAUCCUUGGAUUCAUGGCCCUUUCAGGAGCAAGAGCAGCUGGCCCUAUGUCUGUAAGUUAGAGUCUGUUGGUGGGCAGGGCCAGCUGGGUAUGGCGUGGUCAGUAGAAGUUGCAGCAGGAUGAAGAAGGUGAGUUUUCAGCUCCUGUGGACUGGCUAUCUGGCUGGCAAUGUUUGUCCUGGGCUACUUAGGACUCCCACAUAAGUUCCCUCCUGGCUGUCGUCCUGUAUGUAGCUCAGCCUCCAUUCCCAGGCAUCAUUUAGGCCCUUGGACAGGGAUCAGUAAAGUUGUUCACUAAGCGAUGGCUAAGGUGUGCUGUUGUGCAGAAGACAGUAUAAACGCAGGUGAGAAUUCCAUCUGUUCUAUUUCUCAGGGGCAUAGUAGCAAGUCAAGGGACAGCUUGCACUCUCUGAAGAACUAAUCAAGAUGUUGUAAGGAAGAUGUGACCUGGAGGUCAUUUUGGGGAGUUUCGUGGCUGGUGAGUGAGAAGUGAUCCCAGAACGAGGAGACAAAACAGAAAAGACAAACUGGAAAAAGUCAAGCAUCAGCAGGUUGAACAGGGAAGGAUGACACAAAGAGGAAGCGAAGGCCAAGGGAGCUGGUCAGCUCAGAGCCCCGUGGCUGCCUUGGCCCCAGGUUCUCCAUGCUCAUCAGUGUCAGCCUGGUGCUGGUCUCACAGGGCUUAGUGCUGAGCCAGACAGCCAUGGUCCCUCCUGAGGGCUGAAGUGGGGUCUUAGCCCUGGGCCUUCCCCUUCCUCACCCAGCCUCCACUGCUGCUGCGUUGCCCGGGCCUGGGGUAGGAGGUGUGCAUGGUGAGGAGGCUCAGGCUGCCUAAACUGAGUGCCUGCCAUGUGCCGGCCACUGCUGGAUGUGGACACUGCAGAGUCCACUGUGGGGCUCCCUCUCUGCUAAGGAAAAUGUAGACAAGACCCGGCAGUGUGGCAUGGCCACGUGUGCACGCACAUACAGAUACACACACACAUAGACACAUAUAUACACACAGAAACGUAUAUACACCCACAUACAGGCACAUACACAGUUACACAUACACAUACAGACACACACAUACACAGACACACAUAUAGACAUACAGAUGCACAUAUACACACAGACACAUUUGCACACACAAACACACACAUACACACAGUUACACACACGUACACAUAUAGACACACACAUACACAGACAUAUACGCAUGUGUACUAUCCAGACACACACAUACACAUAUGCACACGUACACACAUAUACAUACACACAUAUACACAUACACACGUGUACACAUGCAGACACACAGACACAUAUACACACAUACCAACACACACAUACACACAUGCACACAUAUAUGCACACACAUAUAGACACACACAGCCACACAUACACAUACACAUAGAUACAGACACACAUACAGACUCAUACGCAAAAAAAUACAUAGUCACACACACAUGCACACAUAUAAACACACCUACACACACAGACACAUACCCAGACAUACAUAUACACACACAAGGGAAAGACAAAAGGGAUUAAAGAAUUAGGGAUUUAGGGAAACAGAAGCUUUGAUAGUCUGUAUCAAAAAUGUUUGGCUGGGCGUGGCGGCUCAAGCCUGUAAUCCCAGCACUUUGGGAGGCCAAGGCAGGCAGAUCACCAAAGGUCAGGAGUUUGAGUCCAGCCUGGACAACAUGGUGAAACCCUGUCUCUACUAAAAUUACAAAAAUUAGCUGGGCAGGUGUGCACCUGUAAUCCCAGCUACUCAGGAGGCUGAGAAAGGAGAAUCACUUGAACCUGAGAGGCAGAGGUUGCAGUGAGCUGAGAUCACGCCACUGCACUCCAGCCUGGGUGAUAGAGCCAGACUCCAUCUCAAAAAAAAGAAAAAAAAAAAAAAAAAAGAAAAACAACUCAGGUCUUUUAUCUUUGAAAGAAAUGAAAAAGCAAUUUAGAUUGGACAAAAGAAUCACAUCUGAAAUGCGUGAAAGAAUCACAUCUGGACUAGGUGUGGAAGUCUCUUCUAAGUUUAAAUUUUUAUCAAAGGUAUACAUGUCCACAUGUAAAGAGUCGCCUAGCUUUACAAGGGUCAGGAUAGAAAACAGUGUUUCCUCCCCCUCCCCACUUCUCCUACCCUCCUCGAAGGGUAACCACCUUUACUGUUCUUACUUUUAUUGCUACCUCUCCAUUUUAUGUUUAGUCUUUGACACCCUUCUUUGACUUCCCUCCAUGGAAAUGAAGGCUUCCCUUUUCCCCCACUACCUUCUCACCAUGCACUCACAACUUUCCCAUCUCUUAUUCCCCCGAGUUUCGGUCAGAUUAAUUUUUAACAUUUACUUUGGGAGGACUAUAGGAAGGCCAUUCAAAGCUGAGUCAUGUAGUCUACUGUGUUGGUUAUUGAUUUCUGUGUAACAAAUUACCCCAUAAUUUAGCCACUUAAGGCAAUAAGCAUUUAUUAUCUCAAGGUUCUGGCCAGGAGACUAGGUGUGGCUUAGCCGGGGUCUCUGGCCCAGGGUCUGUUGCAAGGCUGCUGUGAAGGCUGCUGGCCAGGGCUGCCAUGUCCCCAGGAUCAGCAGUGGGAGGCUCCCUUUCCAAGCUAACUCAUGUAGGGUUUGCAGGUCGUGAGUCCUUGCUGGCUGUUGGCCAGAGAUACCACCAACUCCUGACUGCUCAGGUCUUUCCAUCAGUAGCCCACAGUGUGGCAGCUGGCUCCCCUCAGAGCUAGAAGAAAAACAAGAAGAGAACAAGAUGGAAGCAGGUCUUUUUGCCACCUAAUCUCAGAAGUGAGACUCCAUCACCUUUACUGUAUUCUAUUCACUAGACACGACUCAUUAGGUCCAACCCACACUUAAGCCUAGAAGGUUUGCAUUAGUUAUCUAUUGAGCAUAACAAUAUUACCAAAAACUUAGCAGCUUAAAACCACACACAUUGAUUAUUUCAUGGUUUCUGUGGGUUGUUGAGUUGGGCCAUUGCUGAGCUGUGCCUUCUGUUCAGGGUCUCGCAAAGCUGCAGUGAAGGUGUUGGCCACGGCUGUAUUCUCAUCUGAGGCUUGCCCGGGGAAGAGUCCAUGUCCAAGCUCAUGCAGGUUGCUGGCAGAAUGCAGCUCCCUGUGGUUGUGUGACUGAGCACUUUGGUUUCUUGCUAGCUCCCUGAUGGAGGCCUCUCUUGGCUCUGGAGGGUACCCACAGUUGACUGUUAUGGGGGGCUCUCCCAAGGUGGCAGCUUGCUUCUUCAAAGUCAGCAGAGGAGAGAGAGCUCCAGCAACCCUUAUGUAAUGGAAUCACAUGCGUUCAUCAUCUUUGUCAUAUUCCAUUGAUUAGAAGCAUGUCACAGGUUCCACAUGUUCUCAAGGGGAGGAGCAAUGCAAGAGUGUGAAUUUCAGGAGGUGGGGGUUAUUGGAGACCAUUUUAGAGACUGUCUACCACAUACACUGUGAUUGCUUUUUCUUUUGAAAUGGUUUUAGACACAUGAAAAAGUGGCAAAAAUAGCACAGAGUCCACAUGUGCCCUUCCCUUACUGUUAAAUUGUACGUACUUUUCCUUUGUGACACAGCUUUGUGUUUUCUUUGAAGUGAAACCAAGCUUGAUAUUUCAUUUUCUUUGUUUUCUAUAUACGUGUUGCUAAUAAAACUCUCAAUUCUUUCAUCUAAAUCUCUUCUUAAGACAUGUAGGGACUUCAGGUGUUCUAGCAAUUUCAUCUCCCUGAAGAGGUCUCCCCUGGAGCCUUCUGACCUGUUCCGUCUGGGCGAGCUGAACUCCAUGCCCUCUGCACAGCUGUCAUCUUGGGAUUUCUCCUUUUUGCCAUCUUGGGGCUCCUCACUGUCUCCUGUUUCUUACUCUUGCUGUUUUCCUCUUUCUUAAUUAUUCUCUCAUUUUGGUGGAGUUUUCUCUCAUUUCUUAAGAUUGGUGCAUGGGCAGUACAUUUUUUUCUUUUUGUGUCCUUACAUGUUAAAAAUGUCUUUAUCCUGAUACUUCCUUGAUGUUUUAUCUGGAUAUACUUGUGUAGGGUGAGAGUGCUUUUCCAUCAGGAAUUUGAAGACAUUGCUCUAUUCCCUUUUAGCUUCUAGUGCUGUUAUUGAGAGAUCUGGUGUCAUUCUUAUUCCUGACCUUUGAAAAUAACAUUUUUCCUAUCCCAUUUGGAAGCCUGUAGGAUCUUGUCUAUGAUCAUGGUGUUCUGACAUUUUGAGAUAUUAAUUGGCCUGACACUAUGUUUUCUUUUAUUAAAUAAUUGGUGAUACCUUUUAAUCUUUAAAUUCAUGCCCUUUAAUUCUGAUGCAUUUCUUGGGCUUAUUUCACUGAUGGUUCUCUCUCAUCUAUUUUCUCGGUUGUUGCUUUCUGUACUCUUAUUACACAGGUAUUCAACCCACAGGACAGGUUCUGUAAUUUUUCAGUCUUUUCUUUCCUAUUAUUUCCUCUGUUUAUUUUAUUUACUCUGUUUUAUAGAAUAUUUCCUCAAUUUUAUGUUCUAAUCCUUCCAUUGCUUUUUAUGUCUGAAAUCAUAUUUUUAAUUUUUAAGAAUUUUGUUCUUUGAGUUACGUUUACAUAGUACCUGUUCUUGUUUCUUCUUUUGUCUCUCUAAAGCUGUUAGUGAUAGCUUCUCUUUAGAAAGUCUUUUUUUUCCCCUUCAUGCAUAGGCUUGUUUUCUCUAAAUUGCCUGCCCCCUUAUUUAUUUGUAUUGGCUUUUAUCUUCCUUAUUAGAGAUUUUCUUCAGUUAUCUUGUAAUCCGUGAUUGUUUCCUAAUAUUUUAGAGUGGGGAACUGAAACUGCCAUUGCAAAAUUAUGACCAAGACAGUGAAAGAGAUCUGACCUGACUGACUCCAUCUUGCUUCUAACCUCCAAACUGUCCUCAUUCAUUCUUGGGCAUGGGCUGAACUAACUUUGGGAGGAACUUAGUUUAUAGUUUAAAACAAAGAUAAUAACAGCCUUUUCCCAAAACAAACCUCCUUCUUGUCUAGGAUCUAGACUGCCUUUGUAGAACUAAGAAAUUAGCCACAGGAUUAGAAAUUACAGUUUAGGAGUCAUGCAGCUGGAGAUUACAAGAUUCUGACCCCCCCUAAACUGCUCCUAAGAUCAGGGCUUGAGAUAUUUUGCAGACCCUGCACUUGAUGGAUCAGCUGGCACCACCCAGAUCGAUAAACUGGCUCAUCUGAUCCUGUGGCCCCUACCCAGGAACUGACCCAGCGCAAGAGGACAGCUUCAACUCCCUAUGAUUUCAUCUCUGACCUAACCAAUCAGCACUCUUGACUCACUAGCCUUCCCUCACCCACCAAAUUAUCCUUAAAAACUCUGACCCCUGAAUGCUCAGGCAGGCUAGUUUGAGUAAUAAUAAAACUCCAGUCUCCUGCACAGCUGGCUCUGUGUGAACUACUCUUUCUCCAUUGCAAUUCCCCUGUCUUGGUAAAUUAGCUCCAUCUAGGCAGUGGGCAAGGUGACCCCCAGUGGGUGGUUACAGGACUAUGAGGCAGAUAGACCUGUGUGCAUGUGAGUGGAGUGUGUUAACUGUGUACUUUAGAGAAGGACUAAUUGGCUACACCAUUGAGCUUGAGAACUUCCUUGGCUGGGCUGCUCUCUUGUCCUCUCAGCCUGAUCAUGUCCCACAGAAAACUCAACUGAGAGCUCACCUGGGUUGAAAGCCUGACUCUGCAUGCUGGGGAGGGCAUCUCAGCAUAUAUACAUUUAAUCCCUUUCCUUCAUCCUUUUAGUGUCCCUCAUACCAGAGACCCUCUCUGUUGUACCCUCCUCUGACUAUAAACCUACUGUCUUUUGCAAAAGUAGGAAGAACUAGGAGCUUAGUUGCUGAAACGGGGAAGAGGACAUGUGGCCCUGUUUCUUAAACAAACUUUCAACAAAC